ensembl:lncRNA
GAUUUAAUGAAAGUUUGAAUUUCAUAGUAUUUUAUUUGAAUCUGGUGCUCUGCAUUUUCUCUGGCAAUUGGCCAAGUGGGACAUUUGCGUCUCCCUAGCCCAGAGAGGAUAAGAGAGGGAUGGAGGUAGAGAGAUGGAGGGAAGAGAGGGAUGGAGGUAGAGAGAUGGAGGGAAGAGAGGGAUGGAGGUAGAGAGAUGGAGGGAAGAGAGGGAUGGAGGUAGAGAGAUGGAGGGAAGAGGGAGAUGGAGGUAGAGAGAUGGAGGGAAGAGAGAGAUGGAGGGAAAAGAGGGAUGGAGGUAGAGAGAUGGAGGUGGAGAGAUGGAGGGAAGAGGGAGAUGGAGGUAGAGAGAUGGAGGGAAGAGAGGUAUGGAGGGAAAAGAGGGAUGGAGGUAGAGAGAUGGAGGUAGAGAGAUGGAGGGAAGAGAGGUAUGGAGGUAGAGAGAUGGAGGGAAGAGAGGUAUGGAGGUAGAGAGAUGGAGGGAAGAGAGGUAUGGAGGUAGAGAGAUGGAGGUAGAGAGAUGGGGAGAAGAGAGGGAUGGAGGUAGA